AAGUCGUAACAAGGUUUCCGUAGGUGAACCUGCGGAAGGAUCAUUAUUGAAUUAAACUUGAUGUAGUUGUAGCUGACCUUUGGGGUAAUGUGCUCGCUCGUCAUUUUUAUAUUUCCACCUGUGCACUUUAUGUAGACUAGUUGGAUAUUUAUGACUGACCGUGUGUUGGUUUUGUUAUUCAAUUAGUUUAUGUUAUUCAUAAAACCCCAAAAGUUUAUAGAAUGAACUGCUUGUGUGCCCUUUGUGGCCAUAUGAAACUAUUAUACAACUUUCAGCAACGGAUCUCUUGGCUCUC
rnacentral:misc_RNA from 1 species